ACAAACUUGGUCAUUUAGAGGAAGUAAAAGUCGUAACAAGGUCUCCGUUGGUGAACCAGCGGAGGGAUCAUUACCGAGUUCUUACAAACUCCCAAACCAUUGUGAAUUUACCAUAUUACCCAGUUGCCUCGGCGGGUUUGCCCCGGGCGUCGUUCGCGGCGCGCCUCCGGGAUCCAUGCGCCCGCCGGCCGGACCAACAACCCAUGUUUUUUCGUACGUCUUCUGAGUGGAUUACGCAAAUAAUCAAAACUUUCAACAACGGAUCUCUUGGUUCUGGCAUCGAUGAAGAACGCAGC
rnacentral:misc_RNA from 1 species